GUCCAUUAUGUUCCUUUGGUGACAGAUUACAGAAGUUGUCAUGGCUACUCAGGUACAUUCUACAAACAGCAUAGUUAACACAGUUAACCCAUAGUUGCCUAAUAACACAGUUAACCCAUAGUUGCCUAAUAGCACAGUUAACUCAUAGUUGCCCAAUUCCAUAUGGAGGGUUGGUUUCCUCUCUCAGUAUGAAGAUAAUAAACCAUCCCUAAGGCUUGUGAAACUUCCUGUGUCACUCUGGAGACAAAAGAAGUUCUCUUCAUGACUACUCUGGAGUGACUUGGGAAGUCCAAGCCUAGGAAUGAUGUCUCUUAAUAAAGCUUUUGCAACUUCUUGGGGCUUUUCAGUCUGGGUAGGGUAUGCUUCUGUCCACCCAGAGAAGGUGUCAGCAAAAACUAAGAGGGCUUCAGAACCCACAAUAGAGAUGACAGAUUGCUGUUGAAGUGAAGGCUUCAGAGAAGCAGAGGAAACAAGUGCUGGAUAAUUUUUCCUCCAAGGAGCCUUCAUCCAAAUCUCCAUCAUUCCUGUCACUCAGUAUGGUCCCCCAUACAGAAGAAUCAGCAUCACCUGAAAUCUUGUGUGAUGUGCAAAUUCUAGAGCCCCAUCUGGGCCUGCUGAAUCCAAAACUCUGAGCUGGGGCUCAGCUGUCCAUAGUUGGAUAAGUCCUCCCACCUUCAUCUUCCUAUGCUGCCCUGGGAUUCUGAUGCAUGCCCAAGGUUGAGAAGCACUGUCACACAGGAAACAUUGCUGAGACAUUGCUGAGUUCCUCUGCUUGGUGUUAACCAAUGUAUCACUCAACCCUGACACAAAAUA
rnacentral:lncRNA from 1 species